GCUAGCGUAGCUCAGUUGGUAGAGCAGCUGUUUUGUAAACAGCAGGUCGUCGGUUCGAAUCCGACCGCUAGCUCCA
rnacentral:tRNA from 1 species